rnacentral:lncRNA from 1 species
AGAGCCACACGGCGCGACAAGAUGGCGGAUAAGGAGAAGAAGAAAAAGGAGAGCAUCUUGGACUUGUCCAAGUACAUCGACAAGACGAUCCGGGUAAAGUUCCAGGGAGGCCGCGAAGGUGAGGAGGCUCCCGCUGUCGGUACCCCCUCUUUAAAAAUUUCAAAUAAACCCAGCAACAGAGAUGAUGAGGACGCAUGCGGAAGCACCUCUUUUAUUUAUUUUCAUUAUUUUUUUUGAGACGCAGUCUCGCUCUGUCACCCGGGCUGGAGUGCAGUGGUGCGAUCUCAGCUCACUGCAACCUCCGCCUCCCAGGUUCAAGUGAUUCUUGUGCCUCAGCCUCCCGAGUAGCUGGAAUUAAUGUGUACCACCACGCCCGGCUAAUAUUUGUAUUUUUAGUAGAGAGGCCAUGUUGGCCAGGAUGGUCUCAAACUCCUGGCCUCAAGCGAUCUGCCUGCCUCAGCCCCCUAAAUUGCUGGGAUUUCAGGCAUGAGCCACCAUGCCCAGCCUAGCAUUUUUGACUGGGCAAGUGAGCUGCCUUCUCCUAGCCUCCGUUUCCUCAUUUGUCAAAUGGGGCUGGUAACUCCACCCACUUCACAGGGGGUGGUGAGAAUGAAUGGUUACAGGCAUGUAAUGUAAUUGAGGCAGCUCUCAGCAGGAAGUAAGCAGUCAGACAACACGUCACUUAUUCAAUAGCCUCUUGGAUCUUUGGUUUCUUUUUUUUGUAAGACGGGGACCCAAACCUCUUUGUCCCUGGAUUGUAGACAACUGGGUGGCAUGAGAGUUAUUAAAAAUCACAGUGCCCCAGCCGGACGGGGCGGCUCACGUGUGUAAUCCCAGCAAUUUGGGAGUCUGAAGCAGGAGGGUGGCUUCACCCUAGGGUUUGAGGCUGCAGUGAGCUAUGACCGCACCACUGCACUCCAGCCUGGGCCACAGAGCAAGGCCCAGUCUCAAAAGAGAAAAAGGAGGCCAGGCACAGUGGCUCAUGCCUUUAAUCUUGACACUUUGGGAGGCCGAGGCAGGCAGAUCAGGAGGUCAGGAGAUCAAGACCAUCCUGGCCUACGUGGUGAAACCCUGUCUCUACUAAAAUACAAAAAGUUAGCUGGGCAUGGUGGCGCACGCUUGUAGUCCCAGCUACUCGGGGGGCUGAGGCAGGAGAAUUGCUUGAACCCCAGAGGCGAGAUUGUGCCACCGCACUCCAGCCUGGCGAUAGGGCAAGACUCCGUCUCAAAACAAAAAGAAAAAGGAAUAUGAAUAAAAUGUUUUCUCAGUCUACACCAUGCUGACUCCGGACAUGGAAGGACAUGAGUGAGCGGCCGCUCUUGCUGGUCACACUGCUUCCCUUUGUUUUCUGCCCUUCAUAGCAAAUCACCCAUUUAGCAGCUGAAACAGCACCAUUUUAUUAUCUCACAGGAUCUGUGAGUCAGGAGCCAGGGUACCACAGCCUCAAGGGCUCUCAGGAGGUUGUAACUGAGGGUUGUUUUUUGGGGUCCAUCAUCUUGGGGUCUUCUUCUGAGCCCACUGGUUAUUGACAGAGCUCAGUGCCUUACCUUUGCAGGGCCAGGGUCCCCGUUCUGGCCAGUGUUGGCUAGGGACACUUGCAGCUCCCGGACGCUGCCAGCUCGGGACUCUGUUCCACCGUGGUGGUCUGCCCCUACAGUGCUGCAGGCUGAGCUGACAUUUGUCCAUAUUCAGUUAUUCGGGCCAGUGGGAGAAUCAUCUUUCAGAAAGGGUUUGGGGCCGGGUGCGGGGGCUCACGCCUUAAUCCCAGCAGUCUGGGAGGCUAAGGCAGGUGGAUCACCUGAGGUCAGGAGUUCGAGACCAGCCUGGCCAACAUGGCGAAACCCCAUCUCUACUAAAAGUACAACAAUUAACUGGGCGCUGUGGCUCACGCCUGUAAUCCCAGCACUUUGGGAGGCUGAGGCGGGCAGAUCACUUGAGUUCAGGAGUUUGAGACCAGCCUGGCCUACAUGGCAAGGCCCCAUCUCUACUAAAAAUACAAAAAUUAUUUGGGCAUGGUGGCGCAUGCCUGUAGUCCCAGCUACUUGGGAGGCUGAGGCAGGAGAAUCGCCCUGGAGGCAGAGGUUGCAGUGAGCUGAGAUCGCGCCACUGCAUUCCAGCCUGGGCGACAGAGCAAGACUCCAUCUCAAACACACACACACACACACACACACACACACACACACACACACACAAAAAGCAGAAAGGGUUUGGUCCCUGAAGGGCUCACCUGAUGCAGUCAGGCCCACCCAGGGUGUUUCUCUCUUGAUUGGCUCAGUCAGCUGAUUCAGGGGCUCUAAUUACAGCUGCAAAGUUCCUUGUCUUUGCCACAUAACCUAAGCGCAGGAGUGACAUCUUGUCCCGUCAGAGUCACAGGCCCUAGCCCACACUCCAGAGGAGGGGCACCUUGGCUCCAUGUUAGAGACCUACCUACCUCAGUGCUCACAUCUCUCCCCGUGAGGAGGGCGGGCUCACUGGUCAGGCUGGUGCCAAGGACCUGAACAUCUGCAUCUGACCCCAUCUUAUAGGUGAGUUUCAUUUUGCAGGGGAGGGACUUGAGCAAAGAGAGAGGGAGCCGUGGAGGUGGAAGCUGAAGCCUGUGGAGGUGGACGGAAGCUUGUAUGCAGGCGGGCAGACCUUCUCUGUAGAAGGCCAGACGGCAAAUAUCUUUAGCUUUGCAGCCCAGAUGGUCUCUGUCACAACCACUGAGCUAUGCCAGCAGAGCAGGAGAGCCACCCUGGUCAGCGCCUGAGCGGGCGAGUGUGGUGGUGGGCCAGCGAGACUCUGACUUACAGAGAGGAGCGGCGGGCAGGUUCACCUGGGGGUCGUAGUUUGCAGACCCUCCCCCGCACCACCGCACAGGGCGGCCCUCGGUGUGUGUGGAGCAGCCGUGGACGGGCUCUCGGCCCUGCCUUGGGAGGAGACAGGCAGGCAGAAUAAUGCCCGGGGUGCCUGCUUCCCGAGAUUGGUGGUGCCUGCUUCCCGAGAUUGGUGGUGCCUGCUUCCUGAGAUUGGCGUGGGCGUGCAGAGGGCAGCACCGUAAGGGCUGUGGGUUGGUGUCUGGAGGAAGCACCUGAAAGAUGACAGGGGUAAGAAGGAGAGCAGGGAGGGGGUGGCUGCGGGACGCCCCUCAGUGAGCGCAGAGGUGGAGCUGCUGCUGGGCCUCGGCUGCAGGAGCCUGCAGGGCAGUGGAGGGGAGUCCCAGGCAGAGAGGGUGGGCUGGCCUCUGCUGGGGACACACAGCUCCCCCUUCACCCUUCUCAGUGUCACCAGACACUGCGGAGCAGGAUCAGAUGGCAGAGAUCACCACCGGGUCAGAGAGCCCUAACCUAAGUUGGCAAGUUGUGGCCCAAGGCGGCGAAGCUUGAGGGGUGGGGCAGGCAGCGUGGAGAGAGAAGCCACAGAGACCGUCUCAGCCCCCGAAGCCUUUGCACCUGGGUCUCAGAGCAUCUCUGUUGCCUGCUCCCCGCAAGCCCUAAGCAGCAGGGCUGGGAUUUGUUCUUUUGUAUUCCGUGAACUCACUGAGGGACUCAGCACAGGUCAGGCAGCGCAGUCAUCACCGCUGUCAGAGCGGAGCACUCUGUCUCCCCUACAGGAAGCCCUGUCCCCAUCAGCCAUCACUGCCUGUCCCAUCCCUGGCCCUGGCACCCACGCAUCCCUUCCCUGUCUUUGUGGAUUGGCCUGUCCUGGACAUUUCAUAGAAAUGGGAUCUCACGGUGCGCAGCCUUCUGUGUCUGGCGUCUCUCACUGAGCGUGACGUCCUCAGGUGCGUCCUCAGGCGCAUCCGCGCUGUGGCCUGCGCCAGCCUCGCUCCUCUUCCUGGCUGGUGGUCCCACCGCGUACACGUGCCGCCGCCUGUUUUGCUGCUGCUUUUGAGCUGAGAAUUGUUUUUAUGACUUUUAAAUAGCUAGAAAGGGAUCAAAACAAGACUGUCUCACGAUGUGGAAAUUACAUGAAAUUCACAGUUCAGUGCCUGUGAGUAGAGCUGACCGGCCGCAGUUCAGCCACACAUGGACUCAUUACCGAAGCUGCCUCCACCCAGGCAGCCCGAGCCAGCAGCUGUGACCGGCACCCUGUGGCCCACACGGCCAGAAGUGUUUGCCAUCUGGCCCCCCGCAGACGUGGUCUGCUGCCUGUGGUGGAGAUCACUCUGGAGGCGGCUGUCAUCGGCCACUCCCGGGAGCCCUCUCCUACCCUCAGUCCUCCAUCCCUGGAGCAGUUAGCCCCAUACCUGGGCCAUGCUGGGGCGGGCCCUGCGCCCAGGACGGAUCUCAUGCCUUCUCUUUUCUCUCCCCCGGUGAUUUCUCCAAGCCAGUGGAAUCCUGAAGGGCUUCGACCCACUCCUCAACCUUGUGCUGGACGGCACCAUUGAGUACAUGCGAGACCCUGACGACCAGUACAAGCUCACGGAGGACACCCGGCAGCUGGGCCUCGUGGUGUGCCGGGGCACGUCCGUGGUGCUAAUCUGCCCGCAGGACGGCAUGGAGGCCAUCCCCAACCCCUUCAUCCAGCAGCAGGACGCCUAGCCUGGCCGGGGGCGCGGGGGGUGCAGGGCAGGCCCGAGCAGCUCGGUUUCCCGCGGACUUGGCUGCUGCUCCCACCGCAGUACCGCCUCCUGGAACGGAAGCAUUUUCCUUUUUGUAUAGGUUGAAUUUUUGUUUUCUUAAUAAAAUUGCAAACCUCAA